UAUGUGUGAGGCUUUCAGGCCAAAUUAAGUUGAGACAUGAUAUGUUUACCCCUUUAUUGUAACACCCCUCACCCAUAUCCAACACCGGGACAGGGCUCGAGGCAUUACCAAACUUAAACAUUCAUAAACAUAUAAAACCGAGUCACUAAAUUUUGUCCAAAAUUAAAAAUUAUAGAACAUAUGCUAUCAUCCCUUAAACAGGCCAUCGAGGCCUAUAACUUACAUUAAGGCGGUUCGGGAC
rnacentral:lncRNA from 1 species